rnacentral:lncRNA from 1 species
CCACCCGAACUGGGACACGUCCAGCCGGGACGCGCGACCCGGCCAACCGGGACACGCGUCCCGUGCGCCCAGCCCGCGCGACCAGUCCCAGUCCCUCCCGGACUGGGACUCUCCCAGCACCAACCGGGACACGCGUCCCGGCCAUCCGGGAUGCAUCCUGUGUGUCCGGUCUGCAAGUCUAAUGCCAUCUCAGCCCUCCAUCCUCUUCCAUCCAACGGCCAAAAAGCAAGCCAAGGUCCAGCCGUGGGAGGCUCCUUGGGUGAUCUUUGCCAUUCAUCUAAUGCCAAUCAAUGGUGGAAAAGCCUUGGAUCCAUGUGAAGACAAUUUGCCAUGUUUUCCUAAGGGGAGUAAUGAUAGGUGCAUGAAAAUGUACCUUUUAACACUAUCACUUUAGGCUAAAUUGUUAAGACUUAAGCAUGAUUUGGGUAUUUUUAUGAUAUUUUUCUAAUCUGAACUUUACUUCACAAAGUGUCCAAGUCUUAAUUGAUUUUGGUGAAUUUAUUGUAGGAAUAGAGUUAAGGAGAUUGAAUGCCCCAUUGCAGUCCGAAUGAAAUGAAACUUGGUGGAGAUGAAAUAGACAUGUUGAGGUUUCAUAUGCAUCAAGAAUCAGAUCAAUUGGAGUUCCAGAGAGAAAGUUAUGAGGUUGCAAAGUUAGGUUCUCCUAAACCACCAGCCUGGGCCCUGACAGAUCAGACCUUUGUGUAGUAUUUUGAUGAUUUCGGGAGCUAAAGAAGUCCAAUUGAGCUGAUUCAAAUUUUGUUGGAAACUAGACUUCCAGGACUUUCUAAUGACUAUAAGAACGCAAAAUUUGGAGAUCAGAUGCGAUCUAGAGAGCCUCCCGAACUUCAUGCUGACGUUGGUGCUCGAGGGUAAAGUCGGAAAAACGCAUGCAAAUGUGUCU